AUACGGAGGGUGCAAGCGUUACUCGGAAUCACUGGGCGUAAAGCGCGCGCAGGCGGCUAUUUAAGUUGGAUGUGGAAGCCUACGGCUCAACCGUAGAACUGCAUCCAAAACUAUUUAGCUAGAGUGUGGGAGAGGAAGAUGGAAUUAGUUGUGUAGGGGUAAAAUCCGUAGAGAUAACUAGGAAUACCAAAAGCGAAGGCAAUCUUCUGGAACACUACUGACGCUGAGGCGCGAAAGCGUGGGGAGCAAACGGGAUUAGAAACCCUUGUAGUCC
rnacentral:rRNA from 1 species